UACGGAGGGUGCGAGCGUUGUCCGGAAUCACUGGGCGUAAAGGGCGCGUAGGCGGUGGGGUAAGCGUGUGGUGAAAGUCCGGGGCUCAACCCCGGAUCGGCCGUGCGAACUGCUUCACUUGAGCACUGUAGAGGCAGGUGGAAUUCCGGGUGUAGCGGUGGAAUGCGUAGAUAUCGGGAGGAACAUCAGUGGCGAAGGCGGCUACCUGGCCCAAUACUGACACUCAGGUGCGACAGCGUGGGGAGCAAACAGG
rnacentral:rRNA from 1 species